UUGACGUACCCUUUUGCACAACACUCGAGCCAUAUUCAUAAGCAUAUUGCGUAGUUCGUUUGUUUCCGGCGAUUUUCUUGUAAACUUCAAGUGGGUGAAAAAUCAGUAGAUACUGGCUGCUGUGUGCUUUAAAAAUGGAAGAAACACAUUCCUUGUCAGAAGCCCAGGAGAAAAUAGAGGAAUCAGAAAUUCCUGUGAAGCUGGAUGGCAGAGAGAUUGUAAAUGAUGAGACAUCAGAUGGCACAAGCAAGAAAUCCCUGGCUAAGCUGAGUUCCCUGCCCUCCCCGCAGGCCAGCCCAAGCCAGGCCAACCCACUCCGCCGAAGUCUAAGCUACCCGCCUGCCUGUUGUGGCCAUGUCUGCCGCCUCUGUGCAGGGCUGUGUGUAUGCCCCCGCUGCCCACGGAGUGCCGAGCAUGAGGAGGACAAAACUGGAGAGGCAACAGGAGGGAGUGCGUCCACUCGUGCCGCCCGGCCGCGACUGCGACGACGGCAGUCUGGCGGGAGCAUGCGCACCUGCCACCGCCACAAGCUGGCCUGCAUGCGGGACUCCCUCCCCGCUUCCCUGGAGAGCCUGCAGGAAGCAGGUUAUGUCCCUGUUGACACAGAGCCGAGCGUCUCAGCCACUGCGACCACGGCCCACCCGGGCGUCCUGUUCCCCAGGGCUGAGCAGGAGUUUGCCGAGUGUCAGGUCUGCCUGCUGGAGACCUUUGGCCGGCCCAGGCUCUGCUGCCACUUGCAUGUCUGUGACGCCUGCCUCCAGUGGUACAUCCGGGAAAAGGUCCAACACCGCAUCCUCAGCAUUCGCUGCCCCAACCCUGCCUGUAGCGACUCCAUCUGCCGUGAGGAGAUACAACACCACCUUAGCAGCCAGCUCCUCACAAAAUUCCUGAGGUUCCUGAUUGAGGAGAACAGCGAUCCAGAUCAGAAGACCUGCCCACGUUGUAACCACGUUGCCAACUUUCAUCGAGAUGUCUUGAUCAGCAAGCACAAAUCACAUCCAGAUGAGCAGAAGGUGACCUGCCUUUGCGGUAUGCUGUGGUGUUUCCGCUGUCACUCCCCCUGGCAUGAGAAUAUCACCUGUAAGCAGUACCAGAGAGGGGACCGGCUGCUGAAGGAAUGGGCCAAGGAGCAUCACUACGGACAGCCUAACGCCAACCGGUGCCCCAAGUGUAAGGUGUACAUCCAGCGAAGCUCAGGUUGCGACAACAUGACCUGCAGCCAGUGCCGCACGUCGUUCUGCUACCGCUGCGGCGAGCGCUUCUACUACGUCAAGUUCUUUGGCAACCAUUACUCAGCCUUCAGUGUAUUUGGUUGCAAGUAUCGCCUGCUGCCCAAUAAACCAGUCAAGCGCAAGUUGAUUCGGGGCGCCAUCUUUGGAUGCAAGAUCGCUGCUGCUCCUGUCUGCAUCACGCUGGCUGUGGGUGUGGGCUGCGUUCUCCUGGUGGCCCUGGGACCAGCCUAUGCAACCUAUGCUGCCUGCCGCGAGUACAAGAACCGGCGUUACGAGCGCAAGCGCCGGCGCCAGUUUCGCAUGCAUCGGCAGUAUAUGGAAUACAGCCACCAGCUCUACAGCGGAAUGGACAGAGCCCACCAGGAGUUGAAGCCACGGGCCGCAACCCUAAUUGACCUCCCACCUUCGUCGUGGCAACCAGACUUCUCAGAGGACUCAGACACAUGGACAGAGGUAUGAAGAAUAAACAGGAUAGGCAUUUAUCGAUUUAAAUUAAUACAUUUCUUAAUUAUGGCAGGAAGUAUUGAUAUUGUACUCCUGUAACUAAGUUAAUGAAAAGGAAAUAUUGUCAGCAAAUGUACAUGUAAAUGUGUGUUUUCCAUGUAACGUCUGCCCAUGGUUUGCACAUUGUCAUGAUUGUACAUGUAGCAUGUGCUCAUAUCUGCAUGGGGCCUUGUAUGAAGCUGGUUUAUUUGCAGAGUUACAACUUCUGACAAAAAUCCUUUGGUUUCAGCUGUCCAAAAUGUUUGUGAAGGAAACACAUUGUGUCAACACUUCUCAUGCACUGGAAGCCACCGACAGUCCAUUCUGUUCUCUCUCUUUGUGAGAAUUCCUUAGUUCUGUCGAGAUGUAAGCAUUAUCACAUGAUAAAACUUCACCAAUCAGAAUGUGAACUGAUCAAGAUACUCAUGAAUAAAUAUUAGAAAAUCGCAUCAGAAUUAUGAAAAGUUCCCUGAGUUUCUGUUGGUACCCCUUUGUAUAUAAAUAGAGUAUAUGUAUGCAGCGCAUUAUUUUGUUUGUUUUAAGUAUUUAUUUUGUAAAAGACAUUAUUUGAGAUCAUUUAUAUUUGGCAGCAUUCAAAAGAGUGUUUGCAUGUACAUAAUUGUGGAUGAUCGUUUUUGCUUCUUUACCUUUUGAAAAUCUGAGGUAAACCAGUUUGUUGAUGCUACCAGAUACAUGUAAAAGCAUGAUGAAAAAACUGCGAGAGACCGGGUUUUGAUGAAUGGUAACAAUGUCUCAGUGAACAGUCAAUGUGUGUGAUUUGGUACAUUCUGUUGAAAGAUGGGUUUUUAGAAUGCAAGUUGACACCUUUCACUCUGCAGGGUGUUACAAUUCGAAAUUUGUUUCCGAACUUCUACUCAGCAUUCAAUAGAUAGUGUUGUUGCAUGCAAUAGAUAGUGGUAUAGAGAAUUUCCCAAAAUAUCCCCAAGUUGGGAAAAUCUCUCGUGUCAAUGUGGACUGUUAAUUCUUUUGACAUUUUACCUGGCUUUUCUAUAUUUUGAAAAAACUGAACUUCCUUCGCUCAGAAUGUAUUUUGCAAGGAAAGCUGUUACAUGUGUCAUGUUUUAAGCAUUACUCAUGCACUAACGAAGGAUUCAUGUGUGACACCCCUUUCUAACCGAGACACAGUGGAAGUGUAAACAGAAAGAUGACAACACUAGUAUUGUAAGAAACAACAAGCAAAAAUGUUUAUAAAAAGACUGCUAAUUUUGUUGCAAUUGUUUAUUUAUUUAUUUUUAUACAUGUAGAUGCAUGUGCUGUGUGUCUGAUUACAGAUUUCCCGAUAUGGCUGGUCCGUUCUGGGAAAAUCAACAUUCCAUAUGUGAGGCAUGUUUUUAUCAAAGUCCAAUAGUUGCCGAAAUGAAAAGAAGAAAAAAUGAUAUAUACAUACAAAACGAUUUUAGUGUUACAUGUACAUGCUAGUUUACCAUUACACACAUGGAAACAACAAUAUGUACAGAUGUAUACCAGUAGAUUUAUUGAACAGAAACGAGUUGGUUGCUAAGUAAACGACAGGAAAGUUUGAAAUGUGGGUCUUCACAAUCUCCAUUGGAAAAUGUCGUUUGCUGUUCCAAUGCCUUGUGGGCAUUUUGUUCUACAGAGCCAUAGUUGAGCUUUGGAAGUUCAUUUGCUCAUGUAUACAGUAUAUUGUGCUUUGUUGAUAAUUUGCUAUGCAUCACCCACUAAGAGAGCUUCAGAAUUUCUGUGGGUUGUGCCGGUGUUGUUAGCCAAUGCUUAUGGGUGUUUUGCUCUGUAACACUGUCAAGUUGCAGAGUCUUGAAAUUCUGAAAUUUUGAUGGACCCCAACUCAGUAUUUCAGCUGGUUUGUCCUCAGCUUAAGUGCUUCAGUUAACAGGAGUUGUACCUGUAAUUGGUACAUGUUUAUCAUUGGCUUGGUCUGGGACACCUUUAAGCAUUGGGAGUAAAAGUAAACUGUUCCACUUGUGAGUUACAUGUUGGUGUACUUCUUGCGAUUGUUGCAGGUAAGAAAAAUGUUGAGGUCAAAAUUGAGCAGCUUACACUGCACAAAUUUUAAUGAAUUUCACAAGCCUUCAGCGUUCGUAUCACAUACAUGUUCACUGAGAUCAUGUGCAGCCUUGCCAGGGUUUAAAAAUACCCUGCCCCCUCCCCCCGAAAACAAGCCACAGAUGUACAGAAACUGUGGCAGUGACCAUGUUUAUUCUUAGUGGCACAAAAGUGUACAGGUACAUGUAUCUCUUUGGUUCCAAUAAGCUGUGUAAAAUGUUGCUGGAUAGAUGCAUGUGCUUAACAAGAAUUAACAGAGAACCAGGAACAGUCAGUUGGACAUUGACAGUUGGCUGGUAACAUCAAGCCAGACUCUCCAGUGCUCAGCAAAUGAAUUUGUGUACAUACAUGUACCACCACAGUCAAAUUGGCUACUCACAUAUCAGUAGAGAUGCCAACAUUUGAAAAUAAAAAAGUGUAAUCCUGUGUGUGCAGAGCGCGAAGCCCUUACGGCGUGGGGUCCGGGGCCCACUUAAGGGCCCUGGGAAAUUUUGGGUUCUAGAUGCUCUGUGGUGCAAUCUGAGGCAUUUCCUGGCCCUUUUUCCCAACAUAUUUUUCCUGUUUACAGUAUUAAAUGUACAAGUACAUGUAAGUGUGAUUUUUAAGGGAAUGUUUGUGUUAUUAAAAAAAAAUUUUCAGGGCCAUUUUUUUUGAUGAGUGGAACUAAUUGUGCCACAAAGUGGGGAUUCAUUACUUGAGUUGAUAUUUAGUGUAAUGCAUACAUAUUUUAACUUAUCUUUGCCCUCCUAGUGCCGAAGAGAUUGAUUUGUGGCUUGUUUGGCUUUUUGAAGCAAUUGCUUGCUGGGUUUGAAUCGGUGGCAAGGUUUUUUCACUGCACUUUUCUGCACAAGGAGCACUUCCAAUGUUUCCACUGGCUUUUUUUUCGCACCAUUCUGAAAAUACGUUCACAAGUUGCAUUUGAGUGAGGAAGUACCAAAAUUCCAAGCAUCACAGGAGCCAAUACACCGUAGAGAUGAGUCCUAUCUGAUGGAGUGGCCUUGGCCAGUUCAUGCCACUGAGCAUCUAUGCGAUCCAUAGAGAGUAUCUCUGGCUUUAGACUGUCCACCUGGAAGAAUGCAAACUCUUGUUCAAGUUGACUUAACUGAGAACUGUCAGGUAGUAAACAGCUGAACCUGUUUAUGAAGUAGGCACGGGAUGCAUAUGUCUUUUCAUCUAUUGAUUCCAGAUCCACAACUUCAGCAUGAAGUAAAAGAUCGUCAUUUAGGGGGAAUUUGUCGCAAUGUACUGACAUGCAGUCUCAUAAUAGAGAUGCACAGCUGAGUAAAAUGCAGCCCAAUCACAGUGAAUCAGCCGUCCUGUGGGAUUUUCCUCUUUUUCUUUUCUGCAUCAAUGAACUUCCUAACUUGAGCUCCAACUACAAGUCCUGCAUCUACUUUCUGAUUGGAUUUCAGUCUGAAAUUCACCCCACACACAUUUUCACUCUCCCUGAUAACUGCUGGCUUAACAAAUUGGACCAGUAUUUUUUCAACAGACUGAAGAACUCUCUUCGUAAUCUGUGAAUGAGAGGGGCUUCAUUUUGAAGGUAGGUAUUAAAUCCUUCAAACAUAGGAAGUAGUUCAUCAAGGAAGUAGCAAUACAGUUUGGUCUGAGGUGAAACAAAAAGUCUCUUGACCCGCUGUGCACAAGAAUCUGUCAUCUCCUUUGAUGCUUCCGCGGGCUUUUGCCCAAAGGGUCUCUUCCCAGCUGAUGAACUGGUAGUGGUACUCAAAAGAUGCUAUUGCCAAGGAGGUAUCUUCCCAGCUGAUGGAUUGGUAGUGGUACGUGAAGUAUGCUAUUGCCUAGGAGGUUUCUUCCCAGCUGAUGGAUUGGUAGUGGUACUCGAAACAUGCUAUUGCCAAGGAGGUAUCUUCCCAGCUGAUGAACUGGUAGUGGUACUCGAAACAUGCUAUUGCCCAGGAGGUUUCUUCCCAGCUGAUGAACUGGUGCUUGUGGUAGUGGUAGGUUUUGCUGGACAAGGUUUUGCUUGAAUAGACUCUGCUUGGGUUGUUGUACCUGCAGAAUCGGCAACUAUACCUGUUGCGAUGGAUUUGCUGGUUGGGCACGAUGACCUCGUACAUGACAGUACUUGUACUUAACUUGCAGCACAGGGUGGAUCCUUUGAAUCAUCAGCCUUCCGCUUCUGACAAGUGGUGGUAACAGCUUUUACAGUUUUAGAUGUAAGUCUUUUGCACUCUUCGUUGAAUAAAUCAGUCAGUGGUUCAUACUGCGCAAGAAGUCACUUUAUGCAAAUCCCAAGGGACAGCCAUCUGGUGCUGCAAUGCUUAAGCAUCUUUACUGGCUCAGAACCACACUGAAU
rnacentral:misc_RNA from 1 species